GACGAACGCUGGCGGUGUGCUUAACACAUGCAAGUCGAACGGUAAGGCCCUUUCGGGGGUACACGAGUGGCGACCGGGUGAGUAACACGUGAGUAACCUGCCCUCAUCUCUGGGAUAACAGUCGGAAACGGUUGCUAAUACUGGAUAUGAGCUUGCAAGGCAUCUUGUGGGUUGGAAAGAUUUUUUUGGUUGGGGAUGGACUCGCGGCCUAUCAGCUUGUUGGUGAGGUAGUGGCUCACCAAGGCUUCGACGGGUAGCCGGCCUGAGAGGGCGACCGGCCACAUUGGGACUGAGAUACGGCCCAAACUCCUACGGGAGGCAGCAGUGGGGAAUAUUGCACAAUGGACGGAAGUCUGAUGCAGCAACGCCGCGUGCGGGAUGACGGCCUUCGGGUUGUAAACCGCUUUCAAUUGUGACGAAGCUUUUUGUGACGGUAGCAGUAGAAGAAGCACCGGCUAACUACGUG
rnacentral:rRNA from 1 species